rfam:Serratia proteamaculans 568, complete genome.
UAGGACGGUCCAAAGACGCAUGAUGUAGUACCGAAAAUAUACAGUCGAAAUAACCUUGAAUUUUUGAGGGAUGACCUCAUUUAAUCUCCAGUAGCAAUUUCGACCCAUCUUGGAGGUGUUAUGCGUCUGGAUCGUCUUAC